rnacentral:lncRNA from 1 species
AUCAGAUACAGGCGAUAAGCUUCAAGAAACAUAUCCAUACACUAGGCUUAGGACUUUUUUUUAAGUAAAUUUCCCUGAUAUACAUAAGUACCUGCACUUGGUUUGCAUCUAAGCAAGAAGCAUUAUUAUCAUUGCCUCCAUUUCCAGCAUCAAUCAAGUUUCUUCGAAGGUCCUAUGAGCACGUGUAAUAUUGAACUGAGGAUCAGUCCAUCUGUCCUCCAUGAGAGUCAGAUACAAAGCUUGUAUGCUUAAAUAAGCAUACGCUUUGUUGAUUUACAGAUGGAUCAAAAACAUUGUCAUGCCCAACCCCACCUUCAAAAAGACAUGCUGGGAUUCUUCUUUCUAAGGAGAAUAAUACUACAUAAAUCAUACUAUCACUCACUGUCAUUAAUUUAUCUGGGAAAGUACUUUCAUGGCAACAUAAGAGUUCCACCAUAUAAGAUAUUUUCCAUUGUGUGCUCGUACGUCAAAAGAUGCUGAUAAAAUGGUUAACGAGACUACAUUAACUCCCAAAAACAUAAGAUUACUACCAAAUAAGAAGUAUUUCUUAUAAUAUGGAAUAGAGAAAAAGCAUAUCGAUAAAUGUACAAUUGACAUUUUGAAAACUGCAUCUUUGCUUUUUCUUUUUCUUUUUCGGCUUAGUCUAUUUAGCCUUAGCCUUUUGCUUCUUCUCGUAUUGUCGCUUUCUAAUUGCAUCAAUAGGAUAGAGGCAAAUUUAGAAGCUACGAAGGAUUCCAUGAAAGAGUUCGUUCCUCUCUAUCGAAUCAAUCAUGACGG